rnacentral:tRNA from 1 species
GGCGUCGUCGGGCACAUGGCGAUCGCGCUGCUGCUGCCGGCGCCGCUCGUGCUGGCCUACCGGUUCGAGCCGGGCGUCGUCA